UACAGGGGGUGCAAACGUUGCUCGGAAUCAUUGGGCGUAAAGCGCACGUAGGCGGUUCGUUAUGUCGGAUGUGAAAGCCCUUGGCUUAACCGAGGAAGUGCAUCCGAAACUGGCGAGCUAGAGUACUAAAGAGGAUCGCGGAAUUCCCGGUGUAGAGGUGAAAUUCGUAGAUAUCGGGAGGAACACCGGUGGCGAAGGCGGGGUCUCUGGGCCGUAACUGACGCUGGGGAGCGAAAGCGUGGGGAGCGAACAGG
rnacentral:rRNA from 1 species